AGAUAAGCAGUCGACUAGAACCUCAAAAUUAAAUACGCCUUAUCGACUUCAGAUUCCAUCUUAGUACAUGAUAAACAGCAAUUGAAAAGCCUUCGAAGUUCGUUUGAAAGUUAGUCUUUCUCUCGAAGUCGUGUGACCAUCAACAUGGAUUCAGUUAGGUGUGCUUAAUUACCUAUAGUACAUAGCAGAUCGUUUUUAAUUUUUGUGUUUCUCGGUUGUAUUUAUUCUUCUUUCCACACGAAUGUGAAAAAAGAAUGAAUACAAACGUGAUGCACAAAAGUAAAAAAAUACAUGCAGAUUAUACAGGAAACAAAAAAAUCCAAAAAACUGUCAAACAUCUCCUCACAAACAUGAAAAGAAAGUACCUCAAGGCGGAUAUCCUCAUUAAUGAAGAUAAACAGUAAAAGAACUACAUUGCCGAACAGACACCACUGCUUGGCUUGGAUUCUUCGAAUUUCUUAUGCUGCAAAGAAGAAGGACUUCAAGCAUUAGAAUCGAUAAUGAUGUCAUCAACGUUUCCACGAGUUCCGAAAAGGAAAAAAAAAUAACCAGCUCUGAAAGCCAAUUUCUUCAGAAAAACCCCAACUGCUUCCCGGAUGGAAGAGAAGUAAGAAUGCCAUCCAGGAUUAAUUGUAUCUGUAUAAAUAUCACCUAUAGAUUCAAAAAUGAAGAGUUUGGUGAAAGUAUUUAUCGAAAGUGUCAGUCAUUAUGUGUUUUCAACGAAAAAAAUCUCCAUAGCUUCAGAAAGAUUAGAAAAGUGAAAGAAAUCAUAUACCGCAUUCUGCCUAUGAACAAACCAUCCGUCUUGGAAGACGCUUUCGGUUUAUUCGAGACAUUUUACCAUAACUUAUAGCAUGCAGAACAGUGGGUCAGAACGCGCGCGGAAACUUCAAUCAACAAUCGAGAGGACACUGGCUUAGAAAUGUGGGAAUGUGCAGCUGUGACUGCCAUGCUGCUGUUCAUCACAGUUACCUAUAGUAAAUGAAAAGACACCACUGCUGGGAUUCUAUCGAGGGAGUUGGAGACUAUACAAACCAUCCAAUCCAUUUACAGAUCACCAGUGAACUUAUUUUGAACAGCAUAUUAAAAAUGUAUUUUCAGGCUUUCCAAAUCAAAGGAAGCGACAAAUUCAAUCCGGCAUUAAUUGUUACCUGUAUCAUCUAUAGAUUCAAAAAUGAAGACAGCAAAUUCUGUGGAGUUUCAUCGCCAGAAUACACCACACAUAUGAUAUAUUCGCCAACAAAGACAAAUUAAUGUAUAGGUAUUCGUUGCAAUUGUACAGUUAACAAACCAUUAACUGGUAGGGAUGUAUUUGUAGAGCAGUGGUUCACACACCAACUAAAGAUUUGUUGAUGAAUUUUUGAUUUUUUCUGUGCCUUUCACUGUCUCUCUGAAAUUAGAUAAUACCAAAAAAAAAUGAUAAGUUCAAUUAUAAAUUUUCACAAAUAUAAUACUCUUUCUGGGUUGAUGACAACAUCCAGAAACAGACUGCGAAAGCUAUUUUUGGACGCUGUCAUUGAUCCAGGUUAGGGCAUAUUAUUUUCAUGAAAAUGAACCCAGCUUGCAACACUAUUUUUGUCAUUAAUUCCAUAAAAAUAAAGCUAAUAGUUUUUUUAAAUAAUGAACUUGGCAAAUUAUUUCAUACCUUCCAACUCCAAAUACCAACUCACAACAACACAUAUCAUCCACAAUACAGUGAAAUAUACACAAAAUGCUCAAAUGAGCCAAAAAAACCCUAGCUAUAAAAUGUGCUAUACACUGUGAAGAACUUAUCUGUCCAUGUAUAAUCUUCCAAAGUUGCAAAAUGAAGCUCAAAAUACCUACUCAUUCUCCAAAAAUACUCCAGAAAAAAAUUUGAAAUUGAAUCAAAAAAAAAAAAAUCCAAAAACCAUCAGUCAAAUGAUUUAUGGCAAAAUGAGUGGGACACAGUAUACCAAAACAACAAACUCUAUAUCAUAAAACCUCAGCUCGGUGAAUAAUUAUCUCCCAAGCAGCACAAUCGAAGCAUCAUCGAAAUUGGAAAUUGACAAAAAAACUGAAUUCGAUCAAUUAUAGAGAAACUCGAUAAGUAGGUAGUAGGUACAUCAUCAUAUGUAAUAUUGACAAUCUAUCAUUAAACAUGUUAUAUUGACAAAAUCCCGAGAUAUCGAUCGAGAAAUAAUAGAUUUAGUUGGGACCUUUUUCUUCAGUUAAUUGAAUUUGAUUUUUAGUCAAAAACUGAUCGAUGUCAUUUCACAUCAAAGUGUCAAUCUUUUACUAUUCAUUACUAAACAAAAUUAUAAAUUGAAAAUUUGAAUUUUUAUCAAAAAUAAUAAUAUCAAAGAUGAUCUCUGCUCUGUUUGAGCUGAGAGCAGCAUCCACACAGAGACUGUUCAUGAGAGGUACGGAUGGAUUGUCUGUAUUAAUUCAAAAUUGAGCAGUGAAAUCCUCAAGAUGUACCAGAGUAAGUCAGAACGAGUUUUUCAUAAUUUCAACUUUGACCAGUCAUUACUCUCCUACUAAUGAACCAAUAUGGAUCAAAUUUAUUAUGUAGGUUCCCAUAAGGGUUCUCUUUACCUACGGUAAGAAUUUGAGCGCAAUUGUCACAGUAGCUUUCGCUCAGUGGAAUAAAAAUUGCAUUUGAACAAAAUUGUAGAAAAUUUAAUUCUCUAUUGGAUCAUCUAUCAUCAGAUAAACCAGAGAUCACAACCCAUGCCUAGAAUUUUCGAGAAAAUAAAUAACUAAUAGUCAAUGUUUGUGAACCAAUUAUAGGCACUUUAAAUUAAUUUCUUGUUCAAAAUAAUCAUCCUAGAUAAGCAGUCGACUAGAACUUCGAAAUCAAAUACACCUUAUCGACUUCACAUUCCAUCUAAGUAAGUAUGUACAUGAUAAAUGACGAUCGAAAUGCCUUCGGAAUUCGCUUGAAAGCUGUUCUCGUCUUUCUCUCGAAAUCGUGUGACCAUCAUCAUGGUUUCAGUUACUUAGGUGUGCUUAGUUACCUAUAGUUGCAGAUCGUUUUUAAUUUUGUGUUUCUCGGUUGUAUUUAUUCUUCUUUCCACACGAAUGUGCAAAAAGAAUGAAUACAACUGCGAUGCACAAAAGUAAAAAAAAUUACAUGCAGAUAAUAAAGGAAACAUGAACAAAAAAAUCCAAAAAUCGCCUAGCAUCGCCUCGCAAACAUGAAAAGAAAGUACCUCAAGGCGGAUGUACUAAACCUGAAUAAUAAAAUCAACAGUAGAACUAUAAUCUCAAAAGACAUCACUGCUUGGCUUGGAUUAUUCGAAUUUCUCAUAUGCUUCAAAGGACUUCAAGCAUUAGAAUCAAUAAUCGUCUGGUAAUGGUUUUUACCUCAACUACAGUUCCCAAAUGGAAAGAAAAAACAAAUUAACCAGCCCUGAAAGGCGAUUCCUCUCGAGAAAACUCAACUCUUUCCGGAUCCUAGAGAACGAAAAAUUCCAUCCAAGAAUACUUGUAUCAUCUAUAAAUUCAAAAAUACAGUGACAACAAAUUCUGUGGAGUUUCAUCGCCAGAAUACAGCACACAUAGGAUAUUAUAUUCGUCAACGGAAAAAAAAACUAAUUUAGUAAUUGUACGCUAGACAGGCCAUUAACAGGUAUGGUAUGUAUUUAUGGAGCAGUGGUUCACACACCAACUAAAGAUUUGUUGAUGCAUUUUUGAUUUUUUUCUGUGCCUUUCACUGUCUCUCUGAACUGGAUAAUACUAAAGUUAAAUGAUAAGUUCAAUUAUAAAUUUUCACAAAUAUAAUACUCUUUCUGGGUUGAUAACAACAUCCAGAAACAGACCGCGAAAGCUAUUUUUGGACGCUGUUAUUGAUCCAGGUUAGGGCAUAUUAUAUCCAUGAAAAUGAAUCCAGCUUGCAACUAUUUUUGUCAAUAAUUCCAUAAAAAUAAAUGUAAUAUUUUUUUAAAAUAA